GUGGGUGUUGUCUACCAAUGGAACUUGAGUGAGAGUAUAAGUUUAAAACGCCUUAAGUUACUUUCGUACCUUCUUUAGGUAUUGCGUCAUCUUCAGAUGUUUUGCCAUGUACUCCCCACUAGUUUGGUUGGUGAUUAGUUAGGAAUCAAACUGAAUUACAUGCUUUUUCAUCGCCAAGUUUUUUGUCAUUUGAAGGCCUAAUAGUAAGGCAUUGUUGUUGGAUGCUUUGAAGCCUAGAGUGAUUGCCUGCUCAAGCAUCGAACUGUCUGGGGUGAUAAGGACCACACCUGCUCUCGAGCCCUUGUAGCUGGAUGCGUUGUCGACGUGCAAAUGCCAGAAGUCUCCAGUGGGUGAAGCAAGCAUGGCUAAGGUGUGUUUGGUUGCAUCCAAGGCGUUAUUGGGUUGCUCUGUUACUUCGCCUAUGUUAGGCGUGAAGGCGUGGUAGAGAGCCGGGGAGCUGGGGCUA
rnacentral:lncRNA from 1 species